AUAUUGACAGACGUGAAUGUUUGCACUUUAAUCUACUGAUGUCCAAAUCUAUGAUAUAGAUAUGAUAAUCCACGAAUCAAUGCUUGAAGUUAUACGACGGACUGGAAAGUGUGUCCAAUAGCAGCAGCGGAGAGGAGACCUUUCACAAAUCCAGCAUAUGAGCAGGCCGCAAGAUUAUUCCGGCAUCUUCUCAACUUUGUCAACAGACAGUUCUUGCGAUUUACAGUUACACGGAGGGAACUUUGCGUUGAUAAGGCAUUGAUUUGCACCAAAGGUCACAGUGUAAUGAGGCAAUACAUUCCCUCAAAGGCGGCAAAAUACGGUGUGACAUUCUGGUUACUGUGUGAAUCGGCUUCAGGGUACGUGCUCCAGAUGUCCGUGUAGGGGCAGACAGUUUGACCCUACUCCUCCUGGUCAACUACAGGGCACCAACGUAGUGCGCAACCUACUGCAAAAAGCAUACUAUGCCGUGGUUACCAUGUGUUCUGUGAUAGUUUUUUCACAUCCAUGCAUCUUGGCCAUAUGCUACUGCAGCAUCAUACAUAUGUGACGGGUACACAUCGGAAAACAAGACCGAUACCCUUAACUAUACGGAAUGCUGACCCCCGGUCAGGGACUGCUGUGUACAUGAGGCGGGGAAACUACCUAUGCGUAGCUUCUCGCGAUGCCGACCACAAAAAGCAAGCGCGGCUUCUGUCUACAAUUCCUCCUGCCCAAGACCUUCCAAACGGGCGGCCAAUUAUAGGUAUGGCGUAUACCCGUAACAUGGGUGCGGUUGAUAUGGAUGAUGGGUUAUUAAAUGCCUAUGGAAAACAGCGGAAAACCAAGAAAGUAUGGUAAAAGGUGUUUCUACAU